UUCAUUUAGAUAGAAAUCAUGACUUCCUCAUGUACCCAAAAAAAAAUGACUUCCUCUGCUAAUAUUUUCUACACCAUCUUCAUCUUCCUGUGUCUUGCCCAUCUUAUUUUCAUAUAUGAAGUGGAAGCAAAAAUUUGUAGAGCAUCAAAGAAUACAAAAUUGACAUAUGGUUGUAGUCCGUACUCAUGUCAUGUAGACUGCAUCAGUAGAGAGCAUGCAGAUUACGGUGCUUGUAUGCCUCGAGACAUGUUUUUUUUACAAUGCUUAUGCUACUUCACAUGUUGAGCAACGAGUUUAUUUUUGUCUGAAGUGAUAAAUUUUACUGAAAUUCGUACAUCAA